UUUUUUGCUUCGAUCUCCUCUCUUCUUUUGACCUGUCAUCUCCUUCUUCCUUCCGACGUGAGCAGCGGCGGCCGAGGCUCGAAAAAAAAAAUCCCCAAUCCUAAAGGCAAGCCCAUCUCCCUCUAGCUUGCCAGUGACGACGGGGGUGUAGAUCCUGUACCUAGAUCGGCGACCUUGGCCACUGUAGGCACCGUUCCAUCUCCGCCCCAACGAAUCUAGGUCGUCUCGCCGGCGGCGGUCGCCGGUCGGGCUGCCCGGGCGGACCUCUUCUGUACUGCGCUGCGACACUGGGCGAGCAAAUCUCCAGGUAGCCCGCCUACCCCAUGCCUAGCUCGGACAUCUGCUGAUGGCAAAGAACAGACCUCGGGUCUUCAAGAAUGCAGGACCUCUGGAGACCCCUGCCACAUGUGAUCGAAUGUAGAUGAAAAGAGCGUAAAAACUAAUAGAAUGGAGUACCAUUUCUGGGAAUAAAUGAUCAUUCAAUGGCACAUAAAACUUGAUGAGCAAGAAGCACGAGCACCACCGGAGGCAAGCGCUACAACUUUUCUAUUCUCUGCAUUCAAGAUAGCACAACACUAGAAAUGUCCAUGCCAUGUUAUGUAUUGCAUGUCUCUUGUGUAUCUUCUGCUGCUCCAGAUUGAUAAUGUACUCGACAUUAGUGAGUGAGAUGGUCCAGACUCUAGAGUGACAUGUACUCAAAUAUUUGUGCCUGAGAUGGUUUCACAUGUACUCAGAUCUUUAUGCCUGGGAUGGUCUAAUUAACUAGACGUGUUCUCAACUA